rfam:Myotis brandtii contig156662, whole genome shotgun sequence.
GGUGGUUCUCAGGUGACGCACCCCGGAGUUGGGCUCCCUCCUCUCUGGUUCCAGGGUGCAUCACCCAAGAACCGCC